rnacentral:rRNA from 1 species
AUUGAACGCUGGCGGCAGGCCUAACACAUGCAAGUCGAACGAGUGGCGGACGGGUGCGUAAUGUCUGGGAAACUGCCUGAUGGAGGGGGAUAACUACUGGAAACGGUAGCUAAUACCGCAUACCAUCGGAUGUGCCCAGAUGGGAUUGGCUAGUAGGUGGGGUAAAGGCUCACCUAGGCGACGAUCCCUAGCUGGUCUGAGAGGAUGACCAGCCAAACGGGAACUGGGACACGGUCAAGACUCCGACGGGAGGCAGCAGUGGGGAAUAUGGGAAAAUGGGAGAAAGCCUGAUGCAGCCAUGCCGCGUGUAGGAAGAAGGCCUUCGGGUUGUAAAGUACUUUCAGCGGGGAGGCGUUACCCGAAGAAGAAGCACCGGCUAACUCCGUGCCAGCAGCCGCGGUAAUAC